rnacentral:misc_RNA from 1 species
UCUCCGUUGGUGAACCAGCGGAGGGAUCAUUACAGAGUUUUCACACCUCCCAACCCUUGCGAACCGUACCCUUUCUGUUGUCGUUGCUUCCGGCGGGGUGGAGGGGGGGGCCCGAAACGGCCUACCGGCUCCGCCCGCCGGGGGCGGCGGGCCCGACGAAACCGUGUAACUCAACCCCCAAAACGCGUACGGAAAAACAAUCAAAAUAAUCUAAACCUUCAACAAAGAAUCCCUUGGUUCUUGCAUCGAAGAAUAACGCAGCGGAGCGGAAGAGUAUAA